rnacentral:lncRNA from 1 species
AUGGAGAACCACCUGGGGAAAUCACCAGAGCCCUGGGAAACACCACUGCCUUUGGGGAUCAACGGGGGUUUAGGAAAUUCUGCCUCCCCUCGGGGCUUGGGGCCAAAAGGCUCUGAAAUCCUGGCUCAGUUUGGGGCCAAAUGCUCUGAAAUCCUGGCUCAGUUUGGGGCCAAAAGGCUCUGAAAUCCUGGCUCAGUUUGGGGCCAAAAGGCUC